AUAUUUGACCAAUUUUUUUUUCAAGAAUUUUAAAGUUAUGAUAUCAUUAAUAUCUUAGUUGUUAUUGAGAUCGUGUACAGUUGUGAGAAAUGAGUGUUGUUAGGUAGAGGCCUCUAAUUUAAAGAAAAAUUCUGCAAAUAUUCUUGGUUAUUACUUAUUAUUGAUAUUGUUUAAUUUGAGAAAAAUGAGAAUAUUGUUUGGUGGCGCAUCUAAUUUAAGAAAAAGUCUGCCAAAAUUUUGUUAAAAAGUUUUAAAGUUUGAUUUUUGAUUAUUGUUUAUGUUAACUUUCAUGUAAGAAUGUCAGUAGUAGUGGUCAAGGCAGGGGUAGGGUGACAAUGACCCCUGGUACUUCUGUGGUUGCCUCCUUACCACUGUUUACCUCAGCUCCUCCCAGACCUACCAUAUCAUCACCAUCCUUUAUUUCGGUCAUUUUUAAUGAUCCCAACUCGCACUAUGUGAGCCCUCAUCCCCAUAUGCCUACAUCGGUAUGGGCUCCACCUCCUCCACUUUCGCUACAGACAAGUACACCACCACCGCCUCCACCUGUAGACUCAUCAUAGGCAUCUGCAGCAGAGCAAAGGCAACAGACUACUGCCAGAGCUCAAUGGAGAUAACAGUGAUGACUUUUAUGCGUAUUCUAAUUAUUAUAUCAAUUCCUUGUUAUCCAAUAUUUUAUGCCCUUAAUGCAGUGACUCGGGCAAUAACGGAGGACAUUAAAUUGAUGUAUGAUAUGACACAACAUGGCCAAGUUAUGAAAAGAUUUCUAAAGAGGUUAGACAAAGGUGAUUCGUAAAGUUAAAGGAUAAUGAGAUGAGAUUUCCAAGUUGAGAAGGUGAUGACCAGAGAAUUAGUUUACCUCGAGGUCCCUAGUUUGAGGUGAAAUGAUAAAUGCACUAUGCAGUUAAAGAAGGAACUUUCUAAAAUUCCUUAGAAUGGUAUCAAACAAUCAAAAGCUUACGCCCAUGAUGCAACUGAACAACUUUAAUUUGACGUCUAGGGCAUAGAAAUUAAAAUACGGUUCUGGAUCACAAAUUAUUGCGUUGCAUUAUUGUCUAGAAAAAUGGCAUACACUUCAUAAAGAAUGGCAUCUUACAGAUGUUAGGCAAGCAGCGCAAAUGAAAUGAAACUUGACGACGAUGCCACUUAC